rnacentral:rRNA from 1 species
AGCGAACGCUGGCGGCAGGCCUAACACAUGCAAGUCGAACGCCCCUUCGGGGGAGUGGCGGACGGGUGAGUAACGCGUGGGAACGUGCCCUUUGGUACGGAACAACUGAGGUAAACUUCAGCUAAUACCGUAUGUGCCCUACGGGGGAAAGAUUUAUCGCCAUUGGAGCGGCCCGCGUUGGAUUAGGUAGUUGGUGGGGUAAUGGCCCACCAAGCCGACGAUCCAUAGCUGGUCUGAGAGGAUGAUCAGCCACACUGGGACUGAGACACGGCCCAGACUCCUACGGGAGGCAGCAGUGGGGAAUCUUGCGCAAUGGGCGAAAGCCUGACGCAGCCAUGCCGCGUGUAUGAUGAAGGUCUUAGGAUUGUAAAAUACUUUCACCGGGGAAGAUAAUGACGGUACCCGGAGAAGAAGCCCCGGCUAACUUCGUGCCAGCAGCCGCAGUAA